GACGAACGCUGGCGGCGUGCCUAAUACAUUCAAGUCGAGCGCAGGAAAUCAUCCGAACCCUUCGGGGGGACGUUGAUGGAAUGAGCGGCGGACGGGUGAGUAACACGUAAAGAACCUGCCCUCAGGUCUGGGAUAACCACGAGAAAUCGGGGCUAAUACCGGAUGGGUCAUCGGACCGCAUGGUCCGAGGAUGAAAGGCGCUUCGGCGUCGCCUGGGGAUGGCUUUGCGGUGCAUUAGCUAGUUGGUGGGGUAAUGGCCCACCAAGGCGACGAUGCAUAGCCGACCUGAGAGGGUGAUCGGCCAAACUGGGACUGAGACACGGCCCAGACUCCUACGGGAGGCAGCAGUGGGGAAUCUUCCACAAUGGACGAAAGUCUGAUGGAGCAACGCCGCGUGAACGAUGAAGGCCUUCGGGUCGUAAAGUUCUGUUGUAAGGGAAGAACAAGUGCCGCAGGCAAUGGCGGCACCUUGACGGUACCUUGCGAGAAAGCCACGGCUAACUACGUGCCAGCCGCCGCCGUAA
rnacentral:rRNA from 1 species